UACGGGGGGGGCAAGCGUUGUUCGGAAUUACUGGGCGUAAAGGGCUCGUAGGCGGCCAACUAAGUCAGACGUGAAAUCCCUCGGCUUAACCGGGGAACUGCGUCUGAUACUGGAUGGCUUGAGAUUGGGAGAGGGAUGCGGAAUUCCAGGUGUAGCGGUGAAAUGCGUAGAUAUCUGGAGGAACACCGGUGGCGAAGGCGGCAACCUGGACCAACACUGACGCUGAGGAGCGAAAGCCAGGGGAGCAAACGGG
rnacentral:rRNA from 1 species